rnacentral:rRNA from 1 species
GAUGAACGCUGGCGGCGUGCCUAAUACAUGCAAGUCGAGCGAACAGACGAGGAGCUUGCUCCUCUGACGUUAGCGGCGGACGGGUGAGUAACACGUGGAUAACCUACCUUUAAGACUGGGAUAACUUCGGGAAACCGGAGCUAAUACCGGAUAAUAUAUUGAACCGCAUGGUUCAAUAGUGAAAGACGGUUUUGCUGUCACUUAUAGAUGGAUCCGCGCCGCAUUAGCUAGUUGGUAAGGUAACGGCUUACCAAGGCAACGAUGCGUAGCCGACCUGAGAGGGUGAUCGGCCACACUGGAACUGAGACUCGGUCCAGACUCCUACGGGAGGCAGCAGUAGGGAAUCUUCCGCAAUGGGCGAAAGCCUGACGGAGCAACGCCGCGUGAGUGAUGAAGGUCUUCGGAUCGUAAAACUCUGUUAUUAGGGAAGAACAAAUGUGUAAGUAACUAUGCACGUCUUGACGGUACCUAAUCAGAAAGCCACGGCUAACUACGUG